rnacentral:rRNA from 1 species
UACGGAGGAUGUGAGCGUUAUCCGGAUUUAUUGGGUUUAAAGGGAGCGCAGACGGGUCGUUAAGUCAGCUGUGAAAGUUUGGGGCUCAACCUUAAAAUUGCAGUUGAUACUGGCGUCCUUGAGUGCGGUUGAGGUGUGCGGAAUUCGUGGUGUAGCGGUGAAAUGCUUAGAUAUCACGAAGAACUCCGAUUGCGAAGGCAGCACACUAAUCCGUAACUGACGUUCAUGCUCGAAAGUGUGGGUAUCAAACAGG